UACAUUGAAGUUGGACAGAUGACUUGAUUACGACUUGAAAAUUCAAAGUUAAGAACUUGGUCUUCCACAUCAUUGACUCUGGACUCGACUUGGACUUGGUUGUCUUUGAUUUGGACUUGACUCGAGACUUGACUGGAAGAUUUGUGACUUACUUGUGACUUGCAAAGCAGUGACAUGGUCACACCUCUGCAAGCAGCUGAAAUGAGCUUCCUCCAAAGGUGACUCUGGGUCAGCCUUUGAGACAAAGGUGGGGGAAGCUCAGACUGGAACCACUGGUGCUCCUUAUCAAAACGAUAUUUUGGUUAGCUAAGUUGUAUGGUAGUGCUAGGGUGCUAAUGCUAGUUUUGUCAAUGGUUCACAGCAGACUUGAUCAUGUUGCUGUUCCUCAUAUCCACUCGACUUACUAGACAAGAAGUCAAUUUGUAAGCAAUCUGUGACUGCAAAUAGGAGGAAAAACAUAUUUUUGCACUUUUACCCAGGCUAAUGUUUUUCUUAACCAUUUGUUUGGUGGCAGGAUCCAGCAGGUGGAGAUGUUUCUCUCCCUUCCCAGGUGCUGAGUGGUCCCAGCUGGAGCCAACUACCUCAUCAAGGCAGCAGUAUUUAGGAGGAGGGGAGCCACCAGACGUACGUCAGCUGAUUCUGUUUAUGGAGUGGUAAACUGACCACGCGCUCUUUAGUCGUGCUUCCCUUCGUGCCAGGUAAUCAAUCACCUGUGAUUCUAUGUUCCUCGCAGCAACCCCUUCCGCAUCUUUGAAGACCCAGGAAGUUCCUCAUCGGUCCAUACAUUCAAGUUCUUUUCUCCACGUCUUCACUGGUUUGGACAUCCAUCUCCAUGGGUGUGGCCACUCCUCUCUCCGCCGCUGCAAUAGCUCCAGCACUGGAUUCUGCCAAGCCGCUCAGCUCUCCUGUGGAAAGAAAACACCACUAACCCACCGCGCAGCUCGCACAACCUUCAACCACCCUGAAUACUCUCCUCUCUCUCAGGACCGGUCCCUCCGCAGCUCCAGAAGUCAUCCAAUUUAA
rnacentral:lncRNA from 1 species